UAAUAUUCCUGUACUUGGUGUUACUGCGAAGGGGGGACGGAGAAGGCUAUGUUAGCCGGGCGACGGUUGUCCCGGUUUAAGCAUGUAGGCUGGUUAUCCAGGCAAAUCCGGAUAAUCAAGGCUGAGGUGUGAUGACGAGGCACUACGGUGCUGAAGUAACAAAUGCCCUGCUUCCAGGAAAAGCCUCUAAGCAUCAGGUAACAUCAAAUCGUACCCCAAACCGACACAGGUGGUCAGGUAGAGAAUACCAAGGCGCUUGAGAGAACUCGGGUGAAGGAACUAGGCAAAAUGGUGCCGUAACUUCGGGAGAAGGCACGCUGGUGUGUAGGUGAAGUCCCUGCGGAUGGAGCUGAGACCAGUCGAAGAUACCAGCUGGCUGCAACUGUUUAUUAAAAACACAGCACUGUGCAAACACGAAAGUGGACGUAUACGGUGUGACGCCUGCCCGGUGCCGGAAGGUUAAUUGAUGGGGUUAUCCGUAAGGAGAAGCUCUUGAUCGAAGCCCCGGUAAACGGCGGCCGUAACUAUAACGGUCCUAAGGUAGCGAAAUUCCUUGUCGGGUAAGUUCCGACCUGCACGAAUGGCGUAAUGAUGGCCAGGCUGUCUCCACCCGAGACUCAGUGAAAUUGAACUCGCUGUGAAGAUGCAGUGUACCCGCGGCAAGACGGAAAGACCCCGUGAACCUUUACUAUAGCUUGACACUGAACAUUGAGCCUUGAUGUGUAGGAUAGGUGGGAGGCUUUGAAGCGUGGACGCCAGUCUGCGUGGAGCCAACCUUGAAAUACCACCCUUUAAUGUUUGAUGUUCUAACGUUGGCCCCUGACCGGGGUUGCGGACAGUGUCUGGUGGGUAGUUUGACUGGGGCGGUCUCCUCCCAAAGCGUAACGGAGGAGCACGAAGGUUAGCUAAUCCUGGUCGGACAUCAGGAGGUUAGUGCAAUGGCAUAAGCUAGCUUGACUGCGAGCGUGACGGCGCGAGCAGGUGCGAAAGCAGGUCAUAGUGAUCCGGUGGUUCUGAAUGGAAGGGCCAUCGCUCAACGGAUAAAAGGUACUCCGGGGAUAACAGGCUGAUACCGCCCAAGAGUUCAUAUCGACGGCGGUGUUUGGCACCUCGAUGUCGGCUCAUCACAUCCUGGGGCUGAAGUAGGUCCCAAGGGUAUGGCUGUUCGCCAUUUAAAGUGGUACGCGAGCUGGGUUUAGAACGUCGUGAGACAGUUCGGUCCCUAUCUGCCGUGGGCGCUGGAGAAUUGAGGGGGGCUGCUCCUAGUACGAGAGGACCGGAGUGGACGCAUCACUGGUGUUCGGGUUGUCAUGCCAAUGGCACUGCCCGGUAGCUAAAUGCGGAAGAGAUAAGUGCUGAAAGCAUCUAAGCACGAAACUUGCCCCGAGAUGAGUUCUCCCUGAGACUU
rnacentral:rRNA from 1 species